rnacentral:rRNA from 1 species
CUGUGUGAUCGAGUCAUCGUCGCGAUGCGCGGGGUAACUCUUGAACGUUGGGCUCGGGGGGGGGGGGAACUUCAUGGGGAAAGUGUGAUAAGGGAACCCCGAGUGCCCGUGGGGGCGGGCUGUCCCGGUGUUUAAAACACAUCGGAAGAAAGGGCCGGGCAAGACCGGUGCCAGGCGCCGCGGUAAUACCGGCGGCUCGAGUGGUGACCACUUUUAUUGGGCUUAAAGCGUUCGUAGCUGGAUUUUUAGGUCCCCAGGGAAAUCCCAGGGCUUAACUGUGAGGCGUCUAGGAGAUACUGGGAAUCUAGGGACCGGGCCCCCGCCACAGGUACUUCAGGGGUAGAAGUGAACUUCUGUAACUCUUGAGGGACCACCGAUGGCGAAUGCAUCUUACCAGAACGGCUUCGACGGUGAGGAACGAAGGCUGGGGGAGCGAACGGGAUUAGAUACCCCGGUAGUCCCAGCCGUAAACUAUGCGCGUUAGGUGUGCCUGAACUACGAGUUACUGGGGUGCCGAAGUGAAAACGUGAAACGUGACUGCCUGGGCAUGUACGAUCGCACGCUGAACUUGAAUGAAUUGCGAGGGGAGGACAACACGGGUGAGGCUGCGUCAUGACUCACGUCUUGCCAGCUACUGGUCGCAUGGAUGCAGCUGCUGAACCUGCUGACACUGAAGAGUGAUAGAAGUCUCGGUCCG